AGCCCUGGGGACGUGGUGGCCUUGGGGACAAGAUGGCCGCCGUGGCCAGGAAAUGGCCACGACACCUCAGGGACAGCCCUAGGGCCACCACGGCCACCGUGUGGCCUUGGGGACGUGGUGGCCUUGGGGAUAAGAUGGCGCUGGGGACAUGGUGGAUAUGGGGCCGUGGGGGCUAUGGGGCCAUGGGGGCUAUGGGGACGUGGUGGCCCUGGGGACAUGGUGGCCUUGGUGACGUCAUGGCUUUGGUUGCCAUCAUGGCUUUGGUGACGUGGUGGCCUUGGUGACGUCAUCACCUUGGUGGCACGGUGGCCUUGCUGACAUCACACCCUUGCUGACGUCACGGCCCCGCGCGCCCGUCCCCAUGGCAACCGCCACUUCCGGCCCCGCCCCGCCGCUCCGCCAACAGCUUCCUCCCGCGCUCCUCACGUGACCGGAAGCGGAAGCGCCAUGGAGCCCCCGGGAGCGGCGGCGGGGCUCGGUGCGGACCCCCGGCGCCCCCCCCCUCCCCCGACCCCCCCCGGCCCCCCCUGACCCCCCCUCUCCUCUCCCCGCAGCCCCCAAGCGCCGCGGCCCGGGCCCGGCCCCUCCGCGGAUGGCGGAGCCGCGGCCGCUCUUCGACGACACCAGCGGCGGGGCCGCCCCCCCCCCCCCACGGCCCGGCCCGGGCCUACGGGGCCCCCCCGGCGGCCCCCCCGGCGUCCUCCGCAUCCCGCCUGCCCCCCCCCGCCGCCGCCUUCCUGGCCGAGCCCGUGUCCAGCCUGGCCGCCGCCUACGGCAGCAGCUUGGCCAGCCAGGGCCGGGACAUCGUGGACCGGAACGAUCAGGGUGGUUUGAACUGCCAGGGAACGGACCAUGGGUUCCGGGUCUUUCUCUGAAGACUGGAGGACUGCAAAAGAAAGAAGAGCAGAGAUGAAAACCCACUCGUUGCAGAGAUCCCCAGGCAUCCCCUGCAGACCAUGCCAGCCCCACUCGACUCUUCCCCAGGCCAGGAGGAGCAGGAGGGACAAAGGAAUCCGUUGAAAGCUGCUGCUCAGCAAUGUCCCAAAUGCAGCCACCAGUCCUUCCCCACCUGCGCACCACAGGUCAAGUGGGGCACCUUCACAAGCUGGUUCCCUCACCACCUGCCUCCAUCCCUUGGGAGGAUUCACACACUCCAGGAAUCUCCUGGACUCUUUCCUCUCGCUAUUGUGCUUCCCCAUGAGAGCAAGGGCUAGCAAUCGUGACCCUGCUCCUAGCUGCUUGUAGGCUGUCUCAUCUCCCUCUUCGUCCUGGUUGCGUGCUCUACAACAGGCUCCCACCUUCUGUCAGCCUUACUGCCCUUUCCCCUGACUCUUCCUCAGGGACACUCAACCCUUUCAGCGGCACUGCCCAGCUCCAGGCUGAGAGGCCAUUCCCUGACACGACAGGCUACCCCGUCUCCUCUCCCUCGUUCCUAUAGCUGCAUUGCUCCUCCGCCCCGAAGCAUUUCCCUGGAGCAGGGCAAGGCACGGGGGCCUCUGCCGCUGUCCCCCCAGCCCUAGCACACCCCCCACUGCCCUCACUCACCGCUGAGGAUUUCAUUCAGCUUCUCCUCGCUCUGGUCCUUGCAGUAGUGCGCAGCAACGCCCUAGAUUCGCCAAAGAUUUUAAACUCAACUUCUUUGUGAUUGCUAUGACCAAAAUAGCUAGCAAUCACCACUUCCCAUGUGGC
rnacentral:lncRNA from 1 species